UCCUCCCAAAGCGUAACGGAGGAGUACGAAGGUACGCUAGGUACGGUCGGAAAUCGUGCUGAUAGUGCAAUGGCAUAAGCGUGCUUAACUGCGAGACCGACAAGUCGAGCAGGUGCGAAAGCAGGUCAUAGUGAUCCGGUGGUUCUGUAUGGAAGGGCCAUCGCUCAACGGAUAAAAGGUACUCUGGGGAUAACAGGCUGAUACCGCCCAAGAGUUCAUAUCGACGGCGGUGUUUGGCACCUCGAUGUCGGCUCAUCUCAUCCUGGGGCUGUAGCCGGUCCCAAGGGUAUGGCUGUUCGCCAUUUAAAGAGGUACGUGAGCUGGGUUUAAAACGUCGUGAGACAGUUUGGUCCCUAUCUGCCGUGGGCGUUGGAUAUUUGAAGGGGGCUGCUCCUAGUACGAGAGGACCGGAGUGGACGAACCUCUGGUGUACCGGUUGUGACGCCAGUCGCAUCGCCGGGUAGCUAUGUUCGGAAGAGAUAACCGCUGAAAGCAUCUAAGCGGGAAACUCGCCUUAAGAUGAGAUAUCCCUGGGGACUUGAUCCCCUUGAAGGGUCGUUCGAGACCAGGACGUUGAUAGGUCAGGUGUGUAAGCGCAGUAAUGCGUUCAGCUAACUGAUACUAAUUGCCCGUAAGGCUUGAUCCUAUAACA
rnacentral:rRNA from 1 species